GGAAAUCUUAGGUAGGCUUGGCUAGAAUUUCUCCCUAAAGAAGAUGCCCAAAUCUCUUACAUCCAGACAUAGAAACAUUAGGGAAAUCAAAGAGAAAGUACUUUUGUUUUUUUGUCUCUCACAAGCCAAAACCCCAACCCUUUGAUCCCUUCCCUUUCUAGGAAAAUGUCGGAUUAUUUACCUCCAGAGGUUCUAUUGGAGAUUCUGGUGAGGCUGCCUGCGAAAUCGCUUCUUCAAUGCAGUUGCGUUUCAAAAUUAUGGUACUCUCUUAUCUCUAGCCCAAAUUUCAUUUUUAUGCAUGCCCAUUUCACUUCCACCACCAACAAGAACAAGCAUGCUCAGAUAAUGAUCAGGCACUACUCUAGGACUUAUGGGAAAGAGAUUUUUACGGUGCAUUUUAAUCGUGAUAUGUCAUUUGGUGACUAUCAACUGCUUGAUUGUCCAGUGAAGAGUAGUAAUGGUUAUCUUCUUGAUAUAGUUGGUAGCUGUAAUGGGUUAGUUUGUUUGACUGAUAGUGGUAUUGGUGCUGCUACUGGUGGUGGGUAUAUGCCACAAUUGCCAAAUCCAAAACCCAUUUUUCUAUGGAACCCUUCACUUGGAAAAUCUAUGACUCUUCCUUUGAGGGGUAAUUCAGGUAGGCGUUUAGUUCUUGGAUUAGGGUUUGAUUCCAAGAGUUUUGACUAUAAGGUGGUGAGAAUUGAGUUUCGUUAUGGGGCAGUAAGUGGGAUUGAUAUUUUUGCAUUAAGUGAGAAUUCUUGGAGGAGUUAUGGAGCUAAAAGAAAAGUGGGUUUCCCUUCUUAUGAUUUUUUGAAAUUACCUCAGGCUUUUGUCAAUGGAAAUAUCCAUUGGAUUGGAUAUCAUCAGACAAAGAAGGAAGGGCUUAAUCAUCGAACAUUGAUCGUGGCAACAUUUGAUGUGGGUAAUGAAGUAUUUGGAGAGCUAGAAAUGCCAAAUGAGACAGCUCAUGAAGUCUUCUUACCUGAUGAAAAUUAUCAGCUGUCACUUGUGGUUUUCAACAGAUCUCUUUCUUUGAUACGUUAUGAUGAGGGACAUAACCCGUACUUUAACCGUUGUUGCAUAUGGAUGAUGAACGAGUAUGGCAUGGCACAAUCUUGGACCAAAUUGUAUACCAUUUGUCCGUAUAACGGUUUUUCGAAGACAUUAGACAUUAUGUCAAAUGGAAAAUUUCUCCUUGUGACGAAUAAUGGAGAGCUGGUUUCAUUUGACCCUGAAAGCAGAGCAGUAAACCGACUAAAAGUUUAUGGAGAAUCAUGCUCUUUUAAUGCGGAUACCUACGUGGAGAGUCUGGUGUUAUCGAAAGGAUUUAAUAGGAUCUUGGGGAAGGCAUCUUCUUCCAAUGCAACUUCUCAUGGUAAGGCAUAAGGGAAGUGUACAAAAGUAAUAAAGCCAAGCAGGAUAAAAGAAAACUUGGAACUGGAAGAAUAGGGAUAACAAGCAGGAUAUAAGAUAUUGUACCUAAUCUUUACAACUGUUCUUAAGUAGACUGUUCUGACUGAGAACUAAUUUUAAUACUGAACUCUCUGUCUUGCUUGUAUACUGUUUGUUUUCUAUUACCAGCCAUGCGAAUGGCUGUGUAGAACUAAUUUAUCUUUUUGGAGAACAGGGCAACAGGUGUUUAUUUUCAUUUCCUUCUCUGAUGUCUAGAUAUGCCAUUCACCUGAAUAUUUCCAGCAUCUGAGUGCAUAGCUGUUUUAUUAAGUUCAUGACCAAGUACUGGCUAAUGUAGGCGAUGGAUGGAAGAUUGGAAUUGUUUUUACUUUUCUUAAUCCUGCAAUGUUGUGUGUAUAUGAUUCUGAUCUUGAUAGAAGAUAAAGUUGCAUUGUUUAUCUGCAUUUGCUGAGUCUGGGGAUUUUUGUUUUUAAAAAUUUCUUGUAAAUUACAUUCUUUAAGAAGCCAUAAGUGAUUUUUUUUUUCCUCAUUACAUAUUUGGAGAGGAUAUAGUGGAUAGACUUUUAUGGUAUUUUUUUCUACAGAUUCUUAUAAUCGUGGGUGUGUGUCUGUGGGUGAUUGAUUCCCAAAAAACAAUCCUGCUGUUAUUUUUAGUGGGAUAAAUAUUGGUUAUUGAUGAGGAUUUGCUGGGUUUAAAUCUGCAUAGUGUGUUUAGGAGCUUGUAUCUGAGAGAGAUAGAGAUUUCAAAUAAAAGUUGUUCUAUUUUCUUUCCUUUGCCUUCUAUCAAAGUAGACAGGCUGUGAUUUGACUUGGAAGCAAUUAUGUUAGGUUUUCAGAAUUCCUUUCAGGCAACAUUUCGUUUAUUUUCGUCUGAAGAUUGAUCGUGAACUUUUGAUUGCAUAAAAGAAGGUUGACUAGAUAUGAAAAGCUUCUUGAGUUGUGCUGCUCACAGAUGAGUAAUACUUGUGGCAUGGCUUUUCAAUCUUACUAAUCAGAAAUCCCACACAGUUCAAGUGGUGAUUUCAAACCUAUCUACAGGUUUAUAUUCUAUCAUAGAUUUGUGAGUUUCUUCUUAUAUCAGCUGAAAUGGAUGUGACGGAGCAUCUUGUCUUAAAGUACCAGAAAGAUGAUAUCUAUCGCGUACAGAGGUAAAUCUUGUUAUUUUCAUGACUUUGAUGGUGCUUCUUUCUUUUUCCUUACUUUUUUCCCCUGACAAUGACUUGCCAGUAUAGUUUGUGCUAAAAUUGCUUGGUUCUUAUCUUUCUUGUGAUGGUAAGUAAAUUAUUUUUAAUAUGCAUAGAUGGAUAGAUACAUUUUCUAUGUUGUGGAAAUAAUUGACAAAAUCACAUAGAAGAUUUCGUAGUCGAUAUUAAAUGCUUAUAUGUCUAUGAGUUGGUUAUUUUAUAAUCAAUCAGUGGUUUUGCCGAUUCGAUAUGGAUUUUAUAAAGAAUUUUCUUCUUAAUCAAGUGGUAGAAGCUAUGCAUAAAUUUCAUGGGAAUAUCUUUUCUUCUUCUUUAUUAAGAAACUGUGCAUAAAUCUGCUGGAAAUAUCCUUUCCUUCAUCUGAACAUGCCACUAAUGGCCUCCCCUUUUUCCUUUUGUUGGUUCUUUGCUCUCUUCCUUGUUCUCCAAUAUCCCCACUGUAUUUGGUAAUGGAAUGUACUGUGAAUUAUCAAAUGAAAACGACCAAACCAUUAUCCUGUGCUUGGAAACUUCUCGGCAUCUUCUUCUGAUAACAUCUUCUCCAGGACUGGCUGGUUGGUGUCAACUGGUACUGCUGAAGUUUUAUUAGGUAUAUAGCUUUGUAAAGAAAGGUUAGCAAGAGGUGCUAGUGGUGAUAAUAACAAUUUCAAUUGUUUGCUCCAUUAUAUUUUCUUUCAUUAUGUGCUAUCACCAUCUAUUGAACAGGUUCUGCAACUCAAAAUAUCAAAAAUUAUUGUGUGCACCGACACGGCCGG
rnacentral:misc_RNA from 1 species